rnacentral:rRNA from 1 species
GAUGAACGCUGGCGGCGUGCUUAACACAUGCAAGUCGAACGGAAAGGCCCAAGCUUGCUUGGGUCCUCGAGUGGCGAACGGGUGAGUAACACGUGGGUGAUCUGCCCUGCACUUCGGGAUAAGCCUGGGAAACUGGGUCUAAUACCGGAUAGGACGAUGGUUUGGAUGCCAUUGUGGAAAGUUUUUUCGGUGUGGGAUGAGCUCGCGGCCUAUCAGCUUGUUGGUGGGGUAAUGGCCUACCAAGGCGUCGACGGGUAGCCGGCCUGAGAGGGUGUACGGCCGCAUUGGGACUGAGAUACGGCCCAGACUCCGACGGGAGGCAGCAGUGGGGAAGAUUGCACAAUGGGCGCAAGCCUGAUGCAGCGACGCCGCGUGGGGGAUGACGGCCUUCGGGUUGUAAACUCCUUUCGCUAGGGACGAAGCGUUUUUGUGACGGUACCUGGAGAAGAAGCACCGGCUAACUACGUG